AAGGAACUACGCAGGGGAGAGAGAGAAACUGACAGCCUGUGUGAUUGUACUAAGCUCUCUGGAAGAUUCAGGCUGGAUCAUGCCUGGAAUAGGAUUUAGAAAAGACAACAACUUGUGCCUGUCCUGGAGAUGUGCCUUGGGUCCCUUACCACAUCUCUGCCCUUGGCAUCCUUCUCUGCAGAGUGCAUCCUUGGGGCCUCCAAGCCGGUCCCAGUACAGCUUGGGAGAACCACACACCAGUUGGCAGCUGUUUGGUGCAGCUGUCCUUGGGACCAUCGAUCUGCCAGUACCUAGAAAGGGUCAAACUCCCAUAGGAUGGGCUGCUCUGAUCACCAGCAGGGUGGGCCCUCUGUCUGAACCGUUUCGGCAGUUAGGGAGGGCCUCUACCCUCCCAGAGGCCAGCCACCCCUGACUUCCAGAGGCACACACCAUGUCAGGAUUUCCAGGUGCUGCUGCAGCCCGUGACCACACUGGAAUCUGGCUCUCUUGGACACAGUAACUGGGAUUGGAGCUACCCGGCUCUCACGACCUGAGCCGGCACUGCAGCUCCUGGGCACGUCUGAAGGGAUGAACCCGCCCAGCUCCAAGGGAGACUUCGCGCGUUGUGAGCCGGGACUGUCCGGAAAUCUCCACUGAAGCUGUGCCAGCUCACACACUUGCGGGCAAAGCCCUGGUCUCCAGGACACCAAAUUGUCACCAUUUUUGGAAUUUUCAGUUCUUCGACUUUUGAGACUCUUUGGUCAGAGGGACAGGUACAAAAAUGAUUUGCAUUUCACCUGAGAAUGAUAUAGAGAAAGAGGAAGAAGGGGAGCAAGAGGGGAAGGGGAGAGGUGAUGGAGAGGGGGUAGAAGAGAAAGAGGAAGAAGGAAGGAGAGAAAGAUGAAGAGGAUGGUGGGAUAAAGAUGAAAAAAGAGCAAGGCAAUGUUAACAGAGGCCAGGGGAACA